rnacentral:ncRNA from 1 species
UAGUAGCACAGGUAUAUGAUACACUGUUCAAACAUCUAUCCAGACAAUCAUAGCGAUUAAGCAUAAAGUAAGUACGUUGUCAAUAGUUGGGAAGCCUUAAUGUGUUAAGGCUUUUUCUUUUUCAA